CUCUUCCUACGGGGCGCAGCAGUCGGGAAUAUUGCGCAAUGGAGGAAACUCUGACGCAGUGACGCCGCGUACAGGAAGAAGGUUUUCGGAUUGUAAACUAUUGUCGUUAGGGAAGAUAAAAGACUGUACCUAAGGAGGAAGCCCCGGCUAACUAUGUGCCAGCAGCCGCGGUCAUACAUAGGGGGCAAGCGUUAUCCGGAAUUAUUGGGUGUAAAGGGUGCGUAGGCGGAAUAUCAAGUCAGCGGUAAAAAUUCGGGGCUCAACCCCGUCG
rnacentral:rRNA from 1 species